rnacentral:lncRNA from 1 species
GGGGAACAAAGCAGUUCCACCUAAUGGCAGCCCGGCUAAAGUUCCAGUGAGCCCUGCGUUGCCUCCCCCAGCCCUGGGCAGGGGCUGGACGGGGAGAGCCCAUGAGAGAGCAAGGAUUCCUAGCCGCCGCCCUGGGAACCCUGCCACGCGAGGCUGGGCUGGUGGCCGUCUCCACGCUUUCCGGAACAGACGCCGCUCACUUCCCGGCUCCCGACGAGCCCAGCGGCGGUGCGGUGGCCUGUCCCCGGCUGACUUCCAGGGGGGCUUGGGCAGGAGUGAAGCGGCAGCGCCGUGAGCCGCCCCCAGGCUCGCUGAUGUCCCCCAGCGCUGCUGGCCUGGCCCACUGGGGUGGAUGGAAAGCUACUCCAGGGAGAAGUCGGAUUCUUAAAGGCCUGCUGGACGACAGGUACCCCGGACCCCACAGCCAGAUGCCUGCCAACCUGCAGAGGAGGUGGCAGUCUGCAGCCCCGGCACAGGGCUUCCUCCACCUGAGGCCACCCCUGCAGGCCG